ACUUACAGAGUAUUAUUAUACAUUUGAUUUCCAAUUAAAAAUUCCAUUUAACAAUAUUGGUGUAAGUA
rnacentral:tRNA from 1 species